AUGGAGCCGACCUUGAAAUACCACCCUUUAAUGUUUGAUGUUCUAACGUUGACCCGUAAUCCGGGUUGCGGACAGUGUCUGGUGGGUAGUUUGACUGGGGCGGUCUCCUCCUAAAGAGUAACGGAGGAGCACGAAGGUUGGCUAAUCCUGGUCGGACAUCAGGAGGUUAGUGCAAUGGCAUAAGCCAGCUUGACUGCGAGCGUGACGGCGCGAGCAGGUGCGAAAGCAGGUCAUAGUGAUCCGGUGGUUCUGAAUGGAAGGGCCAUCGCUCAACGGAUAAAAGGUACUCCGGGGAUAACAGGCUGAUACCGCCCAAGAGUUCAUAUCGACGGCGGUGUUUGGCACCUCGAUGUCGGCUCAUCACAUCCUGGGGCUGAAGUAGGUCCCAAGGGUAUGGCUGUUCGCCAUUUAAAGUGGUACGCGAGCUGGGUUUAGAACGUCGUGAGACAGUUCGGUCCCUAUCUGCCGUGGGCGCUGGAGAACUGAGGGGGGCUGCUCCUAGUACGAGAGGACCGGAGUGGACGCAUCACUGGUGUUCGGGUUGUCAUGCCAAUGGCACUGCCCGGUAGCUAAAUGCGGAAGAGAUAAGUGCUGAAA
rnacentral:rRNA from 1 species